AUCGAUGAAGAACGUAGCGAAAUGCGAUACCUGGUGUGAAUUGCAGAAUCCCGCGAACCAUCGAGUCUUUGAACGCAAGUUGCACCCGAGGCCACUCGGCCGAGGGCACGCCUGCCUGGGCAUCA
rnacentral:rRNA from 1 species